rnacentral:lncRNA from 1 species
UGUCCUGCAGCCUGCUACUAUGGAUGGAGGACUUUGGGGGUGGUUGUCCAUGCAGCCUGCUGGCAAGUCUCUGUUAUUCUUUAAUCAUUGAUUCAGGUAAAAUCUUAUCCUUCUCAAGAACUCUGAUGCUUUUGACGACUGAUAGUCUUGCCGGCUUAAAGCAAAACAGAUUCCAGUAACAGGUAUUUUGGGGUUUAACUAUGUGAAGAUAGGAAAGUCUAAGAUGUAUAAAGGUCUGAGAAUGUAGUUACAAAGGCCUAAGGAUAUAAAGGCUUAAGUGAUGAUAAAAUAAGUCGAGACAUUAAGAGAAUAAAAUAUGUUCCUGACUUCUCUAUUUCUCAUGCUACUGUUCAUAAUAAAGUUCACCAAUAUCACUAUAUGAUCAUAACUACAAGGUCAAGAUUAAGAUGCUUUUCAUUGUCCAAAAAAAAAAUCUGUCUGUUUUUAAAAUGGUAAUACUUUCAGCCAAGUUGCUUCUAACAUGAAUAUGCUUCUAACAUGUCUAAUACUUAUGUUUCCACAAACUCUAAGGAUUCUUGUAAGUUCCAGUGAGCCGAAUCAGAUCCAAACAGGUCAGGUUCACUCCAGGUAAUAUUCAAUCUUUCCCCGGUCCCAAAUUCCCUUCACUCAUCUUGGGACUCCUUGGGAACCCCUUCCUCAUCUUACAAUCUUCCCCUCAAGUGACAGGACCUAAGAAAAAUUUUUUUUUCUAAUCUCAACCUUGUCUUCUGCUCUGUCAACAUCUUGCCAGGUCUAAGAGGCACCAGGGAGUUCCAUACAGCCUGGACUACAAUGAAGCAACCAGCUUCCCCAGGACGUGGCAGCAACCCAACCUUCUCGGGUCCCCCAAAGAUGGUCAACGCCCCCCAUGUCAGCAGGAAGCAGUCUUAAGAAUUCGACGCCCUUAUUCCUUAACCUGCCAUGUCUAAACACCCCACCUUUUUUUAAUAAUAAGUAGAGGUGGGAAUGAAAGGUUCAGGCAUUAUGCCCCUGUUACCUGGUGGAAUCCACUCAGGCAAUACCCUGGUCAGCCCAAGGUUCCAUGGGAAAGAAGUCUGCACGCAGGUGCGGAGGACCCCUUUAAAAGAUAGGCCCCUGCACCUUUACUCUCUCUCUCUCUCCCUCUCUCCCUCUCUCCCCCUCUCCCCCCC